AUGCCAGAGGCAGGGCAGUGGCCCUGUUCGGCCCGACCAUCCCUUGUUCUCUGUCCCCCACGUGUCGGGGCCCUUGGCGCACAAGGGAUGGUACCCAGCCCCGCGACAGAGGGUGAGUGUGUCGCUGUCCUCCAGGGGCCCAGAUCCAGUGGAAAACGAGACGAGGACCCCGGUGAACAGGGUGCCUCAGCCUCCGGAGGCCGGGCGCUGACCACGGGCCCGGAGGUGGCCUGGAGGAGCCCCGGGGCCUGCAGGCUCGAGGCCGAGCAGGUCAGAGGGGCCCGCAGCUGUGUGUGUGGGGGUGCGGGAACCCAUGACCCACCUGGUCUCAGGGACCUGGAAUUCGGCAGGUGGUGGGGCAGAGGCAGCUGGGAGUGGGCUGUGACUCAGCGUCUACUGCACACGAGCCACUGUGGCCGCGCCGUGGAGGCCGGGGCUGGAGCACAGGAGUCCCGGGGCAGCGACCGACAGACGGCCGUUCCCAAGGAGGGCAGGGCCAGCCCGGCCUCAGAGUCCACCCAGGUGUCUGCGCAUAACGGCCCGGGCCAAGGUCGGUUCAGGUGCCACCUCGCAGGGCAAGUCGGGGGCCCCUGCUGCCCUUCAUGGAGACCUUGGCCCAGCGCUGGGGCCCCCUGGGGCCUCCGGGGUCACAGGCCGGCGUCCCCACACGGCACAGGCACAGAGGCCCCCGGGGUGGUCCUGCAGAUGCGUCCGCUGGGCAGCUCCGAGAGAGGAGGGUUUUCUUUUCGUGACUUGUUGGAAAGGCAGAGUCUGGACGCCUGGCGGGGAGCAGGGUGGUUUCCGGGGCCUCUGUGGGAGCCCGCCCUCCAAGGCCAGAUUAAGGACUCGGAAAGCCUUAGCCAGCAAGGUGCUGCUCAGGGCAAUCCCCCGGAGCCGGAGCCCCUUCCCGUGGCCAGGGCGAGGGCAGUGACCGCCUCCUCUCCCGAGGCUUCUCGGGCCCGAAGCCAGACCGAGGCCUCCAGAAGGAGCCUUGUGAUGACCUGUCAGGGGCCCCAGGACCGACCACCUCAGGGACCCCGGGACGUUCCCAUGCCGCCCAGUCACUCUGGCGCCCUGGGGGCGGCGUUCGAGGCUGUGGGGUCCUCCGCUGUGCGGGGUGCAGGGUCUGCGGUGGGCACGCGGGCGGGAGGGGGGCACUGGGGCAGCCUCGGGUCGGGUGCUGUGGAGGGUGCCUGCAGCAGCGGCUUCAUUUCAUCCCAGGACAGUGUGACAGCCCCGCCGGGAGGUACGCUGGCCAGAAUAAGGUCUCUCCCUCCCCCUUCCUCCAGCGUCGCUGAGCCCUCUUCACAGGGAGCUGGUUUUGCAGGUGACCCUGCUGUCCCCGGGUCAUGGGUCUCCCCUCAGCCCCAGCGCAGAUCCGCAGUCUCAGGCUAG
rnacentral:lncRNA from 1 species